GUGGGAUCCAGAUUAAGGGCAUGGCCUGACACUAUUACUGAGGCUAUGGAGCACUCACAAAAAGGGACUGUCCUGUGCUAUUGUCCCCGCCUGCAGGAACGCACACAGGACACAAGAUCCUUCCAUAGCUACUUUAUUACAUCUUGACGAGAAAAGGCAAAGAAGGCUCAGAAACUUGUUGCUUAAAUACCCCCUGGUGUGACGUGUCCAUAUCUGACUGGCGGCCUCACCCACGAUCUCAAAAUACCCCGGGGAUGGGCUAGUGACUUUGGCGGGCUUUUGCUCCUAGUACAUGCGCACAUAGCUUGCUCUUUGUUUAGGUGGCAUAAGGCGGAGCCAGCGCCAUCUUAUGAUGGUAAAUGUUAUUGCGGCUCUCCACAAGGGACCUAUCAUGACUACCCUCUGAAAGACUCAGUAAGUAGCUGAAAGAGUCAGAUGCAGAUAUUUGAACCCAACCAAUGUACAGAAGUUGCUGACCCCUGUGGUUGAAUUGGGGAAAGGCUAGAGGAGGCUGAGGAAGAGGGUGACCCUGUAGGAGGAUCUGUAGUCUUAAUGAACUUGGAUGCCCAAGAUCUCUCAGACACUGGACCACCAACCAGGCAGCAUACAUCAGCUGAUUUAAGGCCCUCAAACGUAUAUAGCAGAGGACUUCUGGGUCUGGGUUCUGUCAGAGAAGAUGCACCUAAUCCUCUAGAGACUGGAGGCCCCAGGAUGUUUAGAAGUCUGGUGGGUGGGUGGCGGGGGGGGGGGGGUGUGAGUGAUUGGGACUUCCUCGUGGAGACAGGGGGCCAUGGAGGAGGUAUGGGAUGUGAAAUGGUUGGAGGGUGGACCUUGAGGGGAAUGGGGUCUUGAGUGUAAAAAAAAAAUAAACAAAACAUUAAAAAAAUAAGAAAAUAAGUGUUUAGAAUACAUUCAGAGAAAAUUCUUUAUGCCCUUGUAAGAUGACUCAGUAUCUAUUACCUUUUCCCCGAAGUUUUAUGAACCAAGGGCAGCCCCUAGAACAUGAUCUUUGAAGACUACUAAAUCCUCUAAGAUUCCUCCUACAUUACCAUGCACACUGUAGUGCACACAAUCUUACACACACACACACACACACACACACACACACACACACACACACACACACACACACAGUCUCUUAAGUGUUUCAAUUUGUUUAUCAGUUUUACAACUGUUUUAAUUCCCGUGUUCUAGAUCUUAUAUAAUCCCUAUUAGACAACAUUUCUAAAAAAAUUGAUCAGCUUUUAGUAAACAUGAAAAUGACAUAUAAAAACACAGAAGUGUAAUGUAUGUCAAACAUAUCAUGAUAUAAACAACUAUGUUCCUGUCUGAAAUUUGAAUUACUAAAGAGUUAGAAUCCUAAAAUUUCCCUUAAGACAUUAUAAAAACAAAUCACAUGUAGAAAGUAUUUAUCAUAAAUAUCAUGUAUAUUUUGUUUGUUCAUUUAAAUCUCAACAGUCCCCACAAUUAAUUUAAGACAAACAGAUAUUUGAGCUUCUUAGUCACUUUCAAAAAUCCACCAAAUGUGGGAAUGCCUGUUUUGUCUUUGGGAUUGUUAGAUUGACAUAUAUUCGAUGUCUGUAACAUAUUUGCAUUUUAAUCUAUUCAAUCACUGUAUGAUUUAUUGGAUUUAUUCUUGGUGCUAUGUAAAUAAGCAUUGCUUAUACUUAAAGAUUUAAAUUUCAUUUUCAGUGAUUCCACUAAUUUAUUCAGCCACAUAUAUAUGACAGAACAGUAUCCUAGAAAUUAAAACAAACUUUUCUUUUGGAUCAGCAGAAAUGGGCUACUUAAAACAUUUCAGAUUAUCUUGGGAUGUUACCUUCAGAAGAUCAUGACUGGAAUUAGCUACUUAGGAUGAAUUAUUAGUGAUAGCAUUCAUUGCUUUAGAUUUUUAUGGAGUGAAGAUCUGAAUGUCUCCUUUGAAUCUUGAAUCAUUUCAUGUUUCAUCUACAUUAGGAAUACAGAAAGAAUUUUUCAUUGGGUAGUCAGGGUCUAUGUUCUAGAUCACCAUUAGAUGCCUAGAAAAGGAACUUGUGCUACCAAUAAUUGCUAAAAUUAAGGGAUCCAAAUCUCACAGUAGAAAAUUAUGUUUGGAAACACACCAGUGGUUCUCAGCCUUCCUAAUACUGUUGCACUUUAAUACAGUUCAUUAAGUUGUGGUGAUUCCCAAUCAUAAAACUACUUUCUUAUCUAUUCAUAACUCUGACUUCUCUACUGUUAUGAAUAAUGUAAAUAUCUGAUAUUUUCAAUAGUCAUCGAGGUUCCCAGUAAAAAGUUCAUUCAAUCCCCAAGCGAGUCAUGACCCACAGGUUGAGAAUUGCUCACUGAAAGAGAAAAUGGAAAUUGCAAGGCCUAUGAAAGCUGCCCUUUAUAUCUUCUGGCUGUAACCAAGUUUAACUCUUAUGCAUAAUUAUAAAAUAUGUUAUAGUCACUACAUAUAAUGAGAAUGUCUUUGAUAAUUUUGACAUUUUUUUUUAUCAUAUGAGCCUGUAAUACUGUCCAAUGCACCACCAAAUCACAUUAUCUCCCUUACUCAUAAAAGUUUCUUUAGCACAAAGAAAAUUUCAUGAUAUUAUGAAGCCCCUAAACAAUGCAAAUGCAGAAACUUCAAAAAUUAAUAUAUAUUUUGGUGUAUAAGAAUAUUAUAUGUAAAAAAGAAUAUUAUAUGUAAAUUCCUCUGUUGAAAAUUCAUACCAAUUCUUGAUUAUAUAUUUUCUUUUCUUUUUUUUGCUUGAUUUUCUCUUUUACUACUUUAAUUUGUUUAAAAGCACAAACAGCUGUGCCUGCAGUAACUCGCUAACAACAGAAGUAGUGUUCCCUUUCGUUAUCUUAAUAAAGUAUUUGCCCUUUUGAUGC
rnacentral:lncRNA from 1 species